GACGAAAUCAAUUGUGGGUAGCAAAGAAGCCUUUCUAACUACUGCAAAUGAUUCAAAGGGGUCUUUGAAGAAUAUGACCAAGAUUAAAGGCAAACGCGAUAGUUCUGAAAAUAAAGUUGUCCAAAGAAAAGCGCUGUCAGAUCUUAACAAUCUUACUUCUUUCGCUUCUUCCACGAAAGUUUAUGAUGACUCUAAAUCAACGAAGAAUCAGAGAGGUGCCUUGAUGGAGCGGGUUUCAGUGGCUUCGGCUGCUAAAACUGUUAACGUCUCAUCUGGGAGAUCUUUCAAGG